rnacentral:rRNA from 1 species
GACGGGGGAUGCAAGUGUUAUCCGGAAUCACUGGGCGUAAAGCGUCUGCAGGUGGUUUCCUAAGUCCACUGUUAAACCUUGAGGCUCAACCUCAAAUCUGCAUUGGAAACUAGGAGACUUGAGUAUAGUAGGGGUAGAGGGAAUUUCCAGUGGAGCGGUGAAAUGCGUAGAUAUCUGGAGGAACACCGGUGGCGAAGGCGGCAUCCUGGACCGAUACUGACGCUGAGGAGCGAAAGCCAGGGGAGCAAACGGG